rnacentral:lncRNA from 1 species
CCGCGCCAGCACAGCGCCGAAGUUGGGCCAGGCGUCCACUGCCACCUCGAAGUCCCCGGGGUUGCCGCGGUUGAUGUUCAGCACGGCCCCAUACACCGGCAGGGCGUCAGGCAGGCUGCUGCGCAGGGCGUCCUCCAGGUGCUGCAGGUGGGCCGGGCACGUCAGGAUCCGCAUGGCCCUGCAGGGGAGCCGACAGCGAGGGUGAGUGAAGGCAAAGACCCCGGGAUGGUCCCUGUACAGGGGAGUCCGCUUCUGGGAAAUAAAAGGAGGGAGGAACCCUUACUUCAGAGACGGAGUUCGGGGACUCCUUUACUAGAAAUAGGAAGCACCUGGGAGGAGUUUGGUGGAAAGGGGCAAGGCUUUUCUUAGCAGCAGCACGGUGUGAAGGAGGGGGCCCGUGGGGUUGCAGGUCUGAAGCCUUCCAAUAAGAACCCAGACCAAUGAGCACAAAGGAAAUCAUAUUCAAAAAGACUCAGAGGACUGAGAAACAGGAAACCAUUCGUGGUCUUAGCGUAUGCACUAACGUGUAUAACUAACGUGCAGCAUAGCACGACCCGCUGUCUGGAAUGAGUUACCAUGACAUGCUUGGCUGAACUAUGAGCGUGCAC